rnacentral:rRNA from 1 species
UACGUAGGGGGCAAGCGUUGUCCGGAAUCAUUGGGCGUAAAGCGCGUGUAGGCGGUUCGGUAAGUCUGCUGUGAAAGUCCAGGGCUCAACCCUGGGAUGCCGGUGGAUACUGUCGGACUAGAGUACGGAAGAGGCGAGUGGAAUUCCCGGUGUAGUGGUGAAAUGCGUAGAUAUCGGGAGGAACACCAGUGGCGAAGGCGACUACCUGGCCUGUUCUUGACGCUGAGGCGCGAAAGCUAGGGGAGCAAACGGG